rnacentral:rRNA from 1 species
CCUACGGGUGGCAGCAGUGGGGAAUAUUGCGCAAUGGGCGAAAGCCUGACGCAGCGACGCCGCGUGAGGGAUGAAGGUCUUCGGAUCGUAAACCUCUGUCAGCAGGGAAGAACGGUCACUGUGCUAAUCAGCAGUGAAUUGACGGUACCUGCAAAGGAAGCACCGGCUAACUCCGUGCCAGCAGCCGCGGUAAUACGGAGGGUGCGAGCGUUAAUCGGAAUUACUGGGCGUAAAGCGCUCGUAGGCGGUAUGUCAAGUCAAGGGUGAAAUCCCCGGGCUCAACGUGGGAAGUGCCUUUGAAACUGGCAAACUGGAGUGUGUGAGAGGAUAGUGGAAUUCCAGGUGUAGGAGUGAAAUGCGUAGAUAUCUGGAGGAACAUCAGUGGCGAAGGCGACUAUCUGGCACAUAACUGACGCUGAGGAGCGAAAGCGUGGGUAGCAAACAGGAUUAGAUACCCCAGUAGUC